rnacentral:rRNA from 1 species
GGGAUUAGUGGCGAACGGGUGAGUAACACGUGAGUAACCUGCCCUUGACUCUGGGAUAAGCGCUAGAAAUGGCGUCUAAUACCGGAUACGAGCUUCAGCCGCAUGGCUAGGAGUUGGAAAGAAUUUUGGUCAAGGAUGGACUCGCGGCCUAUCAGCUAGUUGGUGAGGUAAUGGCUCACCAAGGCGACGACGGGUAGCCGGCCUGAGAGGGUGACCGGCCACACUGGGACUGAGACACGGCCCAGACUCCUACGGGAGGCAGCAGUGGGGAAUAUUGCACAAUGGGCGAAAGCCUGAUGCAGCAACGCCGCGUGAGGGAUGACGGCCUUCGGGUUGUAAACCUCUUUUAGUAGGGAAGAAGCGAAAGUGACGGUACCUGCAGAAAAAGCACCGGCUAACUACGUGCCAGCAGCCGCGGUAAUACGUAGGGUGCAAGCGUUGUCCGGAAUUAUUGGGCGUAAAGAGCUCGUAGGCGGUUUGUCGCGUCUGCUGUGAAAUCUGGGGGCUCAACCCCCAGCCUGCAGUGGGUACGGGCAGACUAGAGUGCGGUAGGGGAGAUUGGAAUUCCUGGUGUAGCGGUGGAAUGCGCAGAUAUCAGGAGGAACACCGAUGGCGAAGGCAGAUCUCUGGGCCGUAACUGACGCUGAGGAGCGAAAGCAUGGGGAGCGAACAGGAUUAGAUACCCUGGUAGUCCAUGCCG